rnacentral:rRNA from 1 species
GAUCAUGGCUCAGGAUGAACGCUAGCUACAGGCUUAACACAUGCAAGUCGAGGGGCAGCAUGGUCUUAGCGUUGCUAAGGCCGAUGGCGACCGGCGCACGGGUGAGUAACGCGUAUCCAACCUGCCUUACACUCUUGGACAGGCCUUCUGAAGGGAGAUUAAUACAAGAUGUUAUCAUGAGUAAGCAUUUUCGCAUGAUUAAAGGUUUACCGGUGUAAAGAUGGGGAUGCGUU